AAACUCAAAUGAAUUCGAGGGGCCCGCACAAGCGGAGGAACAUGUGGUUUAAUUCGAUGAUACGCGAGGAACCUUACCUGGGCUUAAAUGGGGAGUGACAGCUGUCGAAAGAUGGUUUCUUCGGACACUCUUCAAGGUGCUGCAUGGUUGUCGUCAGCUCGUGCCGUGAGGUGUCGGGUUAAGUCCCAUAACGAGCGCAACCCUUACCGUUAGUUACUAUCAGGUUAAGCUGGGGACUCUAGCGGGACUGCCACCGUAAGGUGAGAGGAAGGUGGGGAUGACGUCAAAUCAGCACGGCCCUUAUGUCCAGGGCUACACACGUGUUACAAUGGCCAGUACAAAGGGCAGCUACCGGGUGACCGGAUGCUAAUCUCUAAAGCUGGUCUCAGUUCGGAUCGAAGUCUGCAACCCGACUUCGUGAAGCUGGAUUCGCUAGUAAUCGCGCAUCAGCCAUGGCGCGGUGAAUACGUUCCCGGGCCUU
rnacentral:rRNA from 1 species